UACGGAGGGUGCGAGCGUUGUCCGGAAUCAUUGGGCGUAAAGAGUUCGUAGGUGGUUUGUAAAGUCUGGUGUUAAAGGCGCAGGCUUAACCUGUGUAUGGCACUGGAUACUUGCAGACUGGAAUGCGGUAGAGGUAAAGGGAAUUUCUGGUGUAGCGGUGAAAUGCUUAGAUAUCAGGAAGAACAUCGGUGGCGUAGCGCUUUACUGGGCCGUAAUCGACACUGAGGAACGAAAGCCGGGGUAGCAAAUG
rnacentral:rRNA from 1 species